AUUGAACGCUGGCGGCAUGCUUUACACAUGCAAGUCGAACGGCAGCGGGGAGGAGCUUGCUUCUCUGCCGGCGAGUGGCGAACGGGUGAGUAAUACAUCGGAACGUGUCGAGAAGAGGGGGAUAACCACCCGAAAGGGUGGCUAAUACCGCAUAAAUUCUGAGGAAGAAAGCUGGGGACCUGGGAAUAGGCCUAGCGCUUUUUGAGCGGCCGAUGUCGGAUUAGCUAGUUGGUGAGGUAAAGGCUCACCAAGGCGAAGAUCUGUAGCGGGUCUGAGAGGAUGAUCCGCCACACUGGGACUGAGACACGGCCCAGACUCCUACGGGAGGCAGCAGUGGGGAAUUUUGGGACAUGGGGGCAACCCUGGAUCCACCAUGCCGCGUGUAUGAAGAAAGGCUUAGGGUUGUAAAGUACUUUUGGUAGGGGAGAAAGUCAGCUGUGAAAUAUGGCUGAUACUGACCGUACCUAAAGAUUAGCACCGGCUAACUACGUGCCAGCAGCCGCGGGUAUACGUAGGGUGCGAGCGUUAAUCGGAAUUAUGGGCGUAAAGCGAGUGUAAACGGUUAUUUAGCCAGAUGUGAAAUACCCGAGCCUAACUUGGGAGGUGCAUAUGGAACUGGGUAGCUAGAGUGUGUCAGAGGGAGGUAGAACUCCACGUGUAGCAGUGAAAUGGCGUAGAGAUGUGGAAGAAUACCGAUGGCGAAGGCAGCCUCCUGGGAUAACACUGACGUUGAGGCUCGAAAGCGUGGGGAGCAAACAGGAUUAGAUACCCUGGUAGUCCACGCCCUAAACGAUGACAAUUAGCUGUUGGCCCCAUUAAGGGGUGAGUAGCGAAGCUAACGCGUGAAAUUGUCCGCCUGGGGAGUACGGUCGCAAGAUUAAAACUCAAAGGAAUUGACGGGGACCCGCACAAGCGGUGGAUGAUGUGGAUUAAUUCGAUGCAACGCGAAGAACCUUACCAGCUCUUGACAUCUUCUGACAACUCUAGAGAUAGAGCGUUCCCUUCGGGGACAGAAUGACAGGUGGUGCAUGGUUGUCGUCAGCUCGUGUCGUGAGAUGUUGGGUUAAGUCCCGUAACGAGCGCAACCCUUGUUGUUAGUUGCCAGCAUUAAGUUGGGCACUUUAACGAGACUGCCGGUGAUAAACCGGAGGAAGGCGGGGAUGACGUCAAAUCAUCAUGCCCCUUAUGAGCUGGGCUACACACGUGCUACAAUGGAUGGUACAACGAGCAGCGAUCCCGCAAGGGCUAGCUAAUCUUUCAAAGCCAUUCUCAGUUCGGAUUGCACUCUGCAACUCGAGUGCAUGAAGUCGGAAUCGCUAGUAAUCGCGAAUCAGAAUGUCGCGGUGAAUCCGUUCCCGGGUCU
rnacentral:rRNA from 1 species